rnacentral:misc_RNA from 1 species
CCCACAACUCGUAUUAUUACUAGCCAUUUUUGUUUGAUAAAAUACAUGAUUCACUUUCACCAGGCAAUGUUGCUGCAUUAUCAGUUCUUUUACCAGGACUAGGUAAUGCAUUGCAAUAAUUUUUGAGAAAGAUAACAAGAAGAAUUCCGUUCCUUAUAUGACAGAAACUGCCCAAUCUCAUAUUACUCGUCAGAUCAAGCUCUAUUUUAGCCUCUAGGUGAAUCACAUUAGCUGAGAACCUCAACCAAAGUCUGCCAAAAUGCACAAGAAUACCUAUAAUCCAAUCUCUCAAUAUUUGAAAUGAAUUUUGUACCUAGCAGAUUUCUUUAACAUAUUUCUCUGUUUCUAGAACACAACAUUCUAUCGUUCCACCUCACAGUUCACGCCUUAUUUGCGACAACCAACGAAAUUUUAUGCUCUCGGGUAGCAUGCCUCAUCAAGUGAGCAUGGGUACAAAUCUUUACGUCUUUGCCAGCAGAUUAAUGUUCUGUGUAUUCCUCGUGAAGAGAAAUACUAUUGCCACAUGGUUGAGUACCACGAGAAGUGGGAUAAGCAGCUCCCUCCAAUAAAGGCAACUCUUAACUAAUUCGCCUUGCCAGCAGAAGGAUUCCGACCAAACUGUAUGAUCAUUGGCUUACCUUUGAACACGUAUCCAUUCACUAGAUUCAAAGCUUGGUGGGCAAGUUCAACUGAUGGAAAUGUCACAAAAGCUUGGCCCCUCAUUCUUCCCUCCUGCAUUAACUUCACAUUAAGGCCAAUUUUAGCAGCAUCAUUGCUUCCAAACAAUGAUCCAAAUAUGUAGAAGAAGUCAUCGGGAACCAUAUCCUUGCUCAAGUUCUUUAUGUACAACACAGAUGUAGGAUUCCCAACUGUAUAAUUCUUAAACUUUGGAAGUGACAGAAUUUCCUCUGGAGCCAGCUUGUUACUCUCUAUUUCUUCUGGAGUUGCAUAAGGUUUAUGAUCUAAACCAUCAUUUUCUGGCUCUUCAGAUUCUUUCAUAAUGCUAUCAUCUUUUUGUUCAUUCGGAGUUAUUUUGGGGGCAAUUUUGAUCUGUAACACAGGGUUCUUCUUUUUUAUAACAGGAAUUUCUUUUGGGACAAGGGAGGAAGGUUUCACUCCAACAGCCUCAUGAGCUACAUCUUUAUCCACUGCAGGGCCUACAAUUGCUACUUUUCUAGCACGCUUUCGUGUAGAUUUAACUGCUCCUGGAGUUUCAACAGGAGAGGCUUUGUCAUCAACCUCCUCAUCUGACUCCAUUUCCG